GAGUUUGAUCUUGGCUCAGAGUGAACGCUGGCGGCAGGCCUAACACAUGCAAGUCGAACGGCAGCACAGCAGUAGCAAUACUGUGGGUGGCGAGUGGCGGACGGGUGAGGAAUGCAUCGGAAUCUGCCUAUUUGUGGGGGAUAACGUAGGGAAACUUACGCUAAUACCGCAUACGUCCUACGGGAGAAAGUGGGGGACCUUCGGGCCUCACGCAGGUAGAUGAGCCGAUGCCGGAUUAGCUAGUUGGCGGGGUAAAGGCCCACCAAGGCGACGAUCCGUAGCUGGUCUGAGAGGAUGAUCAGCCACACUGGAACUGAGACACGGUCCAGACUCCUACGGGAGGCAGCAGUGGGGAAUAUUGGACAAUGGGCGCAAGCCUGAUCCAGCCAUGCCGCGUGUGUGAAGAAGGCCUUCGGUUGUAAG
rnacentral:rRNA from 1 species